AAGUCGUAACAAGGUUUCCGUAGGUGAACCUGCGGAAGGAUCAUUAUUGAAUAAAUCUGACGUGGUUGUCGCUGGCUCCCCCGGGAGCAUGUGCACGCCCGUCACCUUUAUUUCUCCACCUGUGCACACACUGUAGGCCUGGAUACCUCUCGUCGCAAGGCGGAUGCGUGGCUUGCUGUCGCUUUCGAAAGAAGGCCGGCUUGCCAUAAAUUUCCAGGUCUAUGAUUUCUUACACACCCCAAACUGAAUGUUAUGGAAUGUCAUCUCAAGGCCUUGUGCCUAUAAACCUAUACAACUUUCAGCAACGGAUCUCUUGGCUCUC
rnacentral:misc_RNA from 1 species